GAUCCUGGCUCAGAAUGAACGCUGGCGGCAGGCCUAACACAUGCAAGUCGAACGAGGUAGCAAUACCUAGUGGCGGACGGGUGAGUAACACGUGGGAACGUACCCUUUGCUACGGAAUAGCCCUGGGAAACUGGGAGUAAUACCGUAUGAGCCCGAGAGGGGAAUGAUUUAUCGGCAAAGGAUCGGCCCGCGUUGGAUUAGGUAGUUGGUGGGGUAAUGGCCUACCAAGCCGACGAUCCAUAGCUGGUUUGAGAGGAUGAUCAGCCACACUGGGACUGAGACACGGCCCAGACUCCUACGGGAGGCAGCAGUGGGGAAUCUUAGACAAUGGGGAAACCCUGAUCUAGCCAUGCCGCGUGAUCGAUGAAGGCCUUAGGGUUGUAAAGAUCUUUCAGGUGGGAAGAUAAUGACUGUACCACCAGAAGAAGCCCCGGCUAACUCCGUG
rnacentral:rRNA from 1 species